CACAGGAGAGGUCGGGUUGAAACAUUACUGAUGUUUCACGUUAAAAAUGGCUCUAAAGAUUGAUGCUAAACAACGUUUGACAUGUUUGAACGAACGUAAAUAGAUUAUUUUUUUAACUUUUCGCCGUGACUCCCCCCCGCGCUACUUUUUAGUAGCCUACCGAAGCGCUAACAACUUGGAGUUAUUUGGACAUCAAUUAUGAACUUUGUUGAAAGAAACCACAUUUGUUGUGGACAUGGGAUUCCUGGAAGUGCCAAUGGAUGAAGAUAAUCAAAGGUGGUCCACCUUCCCAGUGGCCGACAUGGUUGCUGUAUGGACAGUGGAGAGGACAUGGACGUCUCAUUUGUCAUGCCACUUUACUGCCAGCUGUUGAACGUUCUCCUUGAACUCCACCUCCCCUCUCUGCAUCUUCCUGCAUCCGAGUGCCAGCAUCCACCCCUGUUCGACCUGACUGUGCCACAGGCCCUUGUGCUGUUGGAGAGCAGAUGCUGGAAGAGUGUGGGACUGCUGUAACAAUUGUCCACAUACAAAGUGUGUCGCUUGCUGAGAUGAGGAGCCAGCAUGGUCAUCACCACGGACCCGGACACCCCAAGCCCAUCGUAAUGUUGGAUGUCAGUGGUGGACCCUGUGUAAACUAUAAUGUCCUGGACCAAUCCUGUCUUCACGUCGCACAUGCCAAAGAACUUGACCCCAAACCUUUGCCUUUUGGAGGGGUUAUAUUGACGGAACGCCAGCCUACCUUUCCCUAACAUCAGGUACUCAGCAAUGCAUAGGUCCUUGUAUGGCACAAAGACCUGACCAAAUGCUGAUGUCAGGCUGGUAAGAACGUUUCUUAUUUUGUAUAAUGGGUCAUUUAGGAUGGCAGUAGCAUUGUUGAUGAAAUGCAGGCAUCGCAGCAGAACUAGGAAGCGGUCUUGGGAAAAGAGGGUGGCAAAGAAGGGAGUUGCAAACAUAGGAUCUGUGCUCCAGUAUUCUCGUAGGGAGUUCUUCUUUACUAUCCCCAUGAGAAGGACUGUCACCAGGAAGGUAUACAUUUCACUAAAUGUGGUCGUCACCCAUUUAGCAAGUUUCCCCCUCACUCCUGGCUCUCUCUUCUGUUGUAGCUCCAAGGCAUAGCGAUUGGUCUCCUCUACUAUGUCUCCCACCAGCUCCUCUGUCAGAAACAACUUGAAGCACUCUGCCUCAGGUGGAAAUGGCAAGGGGUGUUGCACUCCAGACUGGGACUCAUCAAAGCAAAGAGCAAGGCCAGGAGGGGUGAAAUGGCUGUCAGCCUUCCAGCUACCACAGAACUCCUGUACUUCAUCCACUGUCGGUCUGCCUCCAUCACCACCAGCAUCUUCAAAGGUACCUGGGACUUCGUCAGUGGACAAGGAGUCCUCAGAUUCAGGGUUCUCAAUGGCUACAAGGUUGGGGGGCAGCUACUUACUGUCAGAAUUUGUAAGAUUUUCUACUUAGUGUGCCUCUAACAUGCACCAAGCUAACAAACGUUAUUACCAUGAAUUGCAGCUAUUACACAUGUUUUCCACUAACCAACUAGUUAUGUCUCAAUGCAGCUUACACAAGCAAACUGAUGUUUCCACUCACAGCACAUAACAGGAACUGGCCCAACCACAAGCCUGCGGGGGCCCCAUCUCGUGAUAACAGCAACAGUGUCUGGCAUGCCCGACCCUGUGAAAACAGGAACAGGAACACGCACACACACAUAAGCCAUAGCUUAUCCAAGGCACACACACCCUUAUUUAGAGCUUUGAUAGAAACCUAACAUCAUCAGAACAUUGGACCUGAGCCAACCAGAGGAUCGGGACUUCAAGACUCAACCUACUUUCUGUGUUGUAUAAAACAUGUAAACAAACUGUUUUAGGCACUCUCUUCCGCUGGCUCCCUCAGAGCUACUGGAACGAGUCCGUGCACACUGUACCAAAUAUCUUCACUCUGAAUAAACUAUCGCUUGUCAUAUAAUUUAGCGCCUUGUCCGAAUCAGUCCUUGACCGACUCUCCCUUCUUCUCAUUCCAUUUACCAACAAUACUCAGACUUAUUGUCAGAACUUUUUUUAAAUCUCAAGAAUUUCCGCAUUUGUGAGCUGUCUCCUUUUGAAAGACAUUGCUAAUGCUACAGCUUAGCUCACUAGCUACAUACAUAAACAACAACACUGAUUGGCUCGAAGUGGGAGUGAGAGGUUACGUGAUUGACUGCCGACAUGCGCCACUUGUAUCAAUAAAUCCCUAUCAGAAAAUGUUGUGCGUGGU
rnacentral:lncRNA from 1 species